UACGUAGGGGGCUAGCGUUGUCCGGAAUCAUUGGGCGUAAAGAGCGUGUAGGCGGCCCGGUAAGUCCGCUGUGAAAGUCGGGGGCUCAACCCUCGAAUGCCGGUGGAUACUGUCGGGCUAGAGUGCGGAAGAGGCGAGUGGAAUUCCUGGUGUAGCGGUGAAAUGCGCAGAUAUCAGGAGGAACACCGAUUGCGAAGGCAGCUCGCUGGGACGUUACUGACGCUGAGACGCGAAAGCGUGGGGAGCGAACAGG
rnacentral:rRNA from 1 species